CCUACGGGGGGCAGCAGUGAGGAAUAUUGGUCAAUGGGCGCAAGCCUGAACCAGCCAAGUCGCGUGAGGGAUGACGGUCCUAUGGAUUGUAAACCUCUUUUGUCGGGGAGCAAGGCCCGCCACGUGUGGCGGGAAGGAGAGUACCCGAAGAAAAAGCAUCGGCUAACUCCGUGCCAGCAGCCGCGGUAAUACGGAGGAUGCGAGCGUUAUCCGGAUUUAUUGGGGUUAAGGGGUGCGUAGGCGGAAGGUUAAGUCAGCGGUAAAAUGUCGGUGCUCAACACCGGCCUGCCGUUGAAACUGGUCUUCUUGAGUGAGCGAGAAGUAUGCGGAAUGCGUGGUGUAGCGGUGAAAUGCAUAGAUAUCACGCAGAACUCCGAUUGCGAAGGCAGCAUACCGGCGCUCAACUGACGCUGAGGCACGAAAGCGUGGGGAUCGAACAGGAUUAGAUACCCCGAUAGUC
rnacentral:rRNA from 1 species